UGCAGAAGCGGGGAUAACUCUACUAGACGAGAAGACCCUAUGGAGCUUUAGAAAAAAAACGACCAUUUAAGACUAAGUGAAAAAAAACACUAAAGUCAUUACACCCCCGUUUUUAUCUUUGGUUGGGGCGACCGUGGAGAAAUAAAAAACCCCCAUGAAGAAUAAGACAACUUCGUCUUUAAGCCAAGAGCCACAGCUCUAAGCAUCAAAAAAAUUUGACUAAAAGAUCCGGCUAAAAAUGCCGAUCAACGGACCGAGUUACCCUAGGGAUAACAGCGCAAUCUUCUCCCAGAGCCCCUAUCGACGAGAAGGUUUACGACCUCGAUGUUGGAUCAGGACAUCCUAAUGGUGCAGCCGCUAUUAAGGGUUCGUUUGUUCAACGAUUAACAGUCCU
rnacentral:rRNA from 1 species